GCGAGUGUAGUUUAAUGGUAGAACUUCAGCCUUCCAAGCUGACUGUGAGGGUUCGAUUCCCUUCACUCGCU
rfam:Mycoplasma synoviae 53, complete genome.